ACUAUCAUGUGAUUCGCCCACCCACUGUGCCAACAUGGCGGCGCCCAGGUCCUAAUUCGGGAAACGUGCACCUUGACUAAUUCGGUUUUCUGUGGCUACGAGAGCAGGCUUGGCGGGCGGAGGCGCCAGCGGAUGUCUCAUGCAAGGAUCGUCUCUGUGGCUAAGCCUCACUUUCCGCUCCGCCCGGGUGCUCUCUAGAGCCCGGUUUUUCGAGUGGCAGUCCCCAGGGCUGCCGAAUACAGCAGCGAUGGAGAACGGCACCGGGCCCUAUGGAGAAGAACGCCCACGUGAAGUCCAGGAGACGACAGUCACCGAGGGGGCUGCCAAAAUCGCCUUUCCCAGUGCCAACGAGGUCUUUUAUAACCCGGUGCAGGAAUUCAAUCGGGACCUGACGUGAGCAGGGGUCAGACGUUAGCCUGGCAUCGGCUAGUGGGUCAGUGUGGAUGGCGGGGGCGGGGUAUGAGCUAGUCCUCUGUCUCCCACCAGAUGUGCUGUGAUCACCGAGUUUGCUCGCAUUCAGCUUGGGGCCAAAGGAAUCCAGAGUGAGUGGAGGUCCAGGCUUCUGGUGGGCGGGGGUCACACAAGUUUAUCU
rnacentral:sRNA from 1 species